rnacentral:rRNA from 1 species
GUGAACGCUGGCGGUAGGCCUAACACAUGCAAGUCGAACGGCAGCACAGUAAGAGCUUGCUCUUACGGGUGGCGAGUGGCGGACGGGUGAGGAAUACAUCGGAAUCUACUUUUUCGUGGGGGAUAACGUAGGGAAACUUACGCUAAUACCGCAUACGACCUACGGGUGAAAGCAGGGGAUCUUCGGACCUUGCGCGAUUGAAUGAGCCGAUGUCGGAUUAGCUAGUUGGCGGGGUAAAGGCCCACCAAGGCGACGAUCCGUAGCUGGUCUGAGAGGAUGAUCAGCCACACUGGAACUGAGACACGGUCCAGACUCCUACGGGAGGCAGCAGUGGGGAAUAUUGGACAAUGGGCGCAGGCCUGAUCCAGCCAUACCGCGUGGGUGAAGAAGGCCUUCGGGUUGUAAAGCCCUUUUGUUGGGAAAGAAAAGCAGCAGGUUAAUACCCCGCUGUUCUGACGGUACCCAAAGAAUAAGCACCGGCUAACUUCGUG